rnacentral:rRNA from 1 species
GAUGAACGCUGGCGGCGUGCCUAAUACAUGCAAGUCGAGCGAACAUACGAGGAGCUUGCUCCUCUGACGUUAGCGGCGGACGGGUGAGUAACACGUGGAUAACCUACCUAUAAGACUGGGAUAACUUCGGGAAACCGGAGCUAAUACCGGAUAAUAUAUUGAACCGCAUGGUUCAAUAGUGAAAGACGGCUUUGCUGUCACUUAUAGAUGGAUCCGCGCCGCAUUAGCUAGUUGGUAAGGUAACGGCUUACCAAGGCAACGAUGCGUAGCCGACCUGAGAGGGUGAUCGGCCACACUGGAACUGAGACACGGUCCAGACUCCUACGGGAGGCAGCAGUAGGGAAUCUUCCGCAAUGGGCGAAAGCCUGACGGAGCAACGCCGCGUGAGUGAUGAAGGUCUUCGGAUCGUAAAACUCUGUUAUUAGGGAAGAACAAAUGUGUAAGUAACUAUGCACGUCUUGACGGUACCUAAUCAGAAAGCCACGGCUAACUACGUG